AGACGUCUACAUUAGAUACCCGGUAGUCCCAGCCGUAAACUAUGCGCGUUAGGUGUAUCGGUGACCACGAGUCACCAAGGUGCCGAAGGGAAACCGUGAAACGUGCCGCCUGGGAAGUACGGUCGCAAGGCUGAAACUUAAAGGAAUUGGCGGGGAGCACCACAACGGGUGGAGCCUGCGGUUUAAUUGGACUCAACGCCGGGAAGCUCACCGGAUAAGACAGCGGAAUGAUUGCCGGGCUGAAGACUCUGCAUGACUAGCUG
rnacentral:rRNA from 1 species